rnacentral:rRNA from 1 species
AGAAUCAACGCUGGCGGCGUGCCUAACACAUGCAAGUCGAACGAGAAAGUGGAGCAAUCCAUGAGUAAAGUGGCGCACGGGUGAGUAACACGUGACUAACCUACCUUUUAGUGGGGGAUAACCUAGGGAAACCUGGGCUAAUACCGCAUAACACUUACGAGUCAAAGCAGCAAUGCGCUGAAAGGAGGGGGUCGCGGCCGAUUAGCUAGUUGGCGGGGUAAUGGCCCACCAAGGCAGUGAUCGGUA